rnacentral:rRNA from 1 species
GGGGUGCAGCAGGCGCGAAACCUCCGCAAUGUGAGAAAUCGCGACGGGGGGAUCCCAAGUGCCAUUCUUAACGGGAUGGCUUUUCAUUAGUGUAAAGAGCUUUUGGAAUAAGGGCUGGGCAAGACCGGUGCCAGCCGCCGCGGUAACACCGGCAGCUCUAGUGGUAGCAGUUUUUAUUGGGCCUAAAGCGUCCGUAGCCGGUUUAAUAAGUCUCUGGUGAAAUCCUGUAGCUUAACUGUGGGAAUUGCUGGAGAUACUAUUAGACUUGAGACCGGGAGAGGUUAGAGGUACUCCCAGGGUAGAGGUGAAAUUCUGUAAUCCUGGGAGGACCGCCUGUUGCGAAGGCGUCUAACUGGAACGGUUCUGACGGUGAGGGACGAAAGUUAGGGGCGCGAACCGGAUUAGAUACCCGGGUAGUCCUAACUGUAAACGAUGCGGACUUGGUGUUGGGGUGGCUUUGAGCUGCUCCAGUGCCGAAGGGAAGCUGUUAAGUCCGCCGCCUGGGAAGUACGGUCGCAAGACUGAAACUUAA